UACGGGGGGGGCAAGCGUUGUUCGGAAUUACUGGGCGUAAAGGGCGCGUAGGCGGCCUGCUAAGUCGAACGUGAAAUCCCCGGGCUCAACCCGGGAACUGCGUCCGAUACUGGCAGGCUUGAAUCCGGGAGAGGGAUGCGGAAUUCCAGGUGUAGCGGUGAAAUGCGUAGAUAUCUGGAGGAACACCGAUGGCGAAGGCAGCCCCCUGGGUUAACACUGACGCUCAUGCACGAAAGCGUGGGGAGCAAACAGG
rnacentral:rRNA from 1 species